CGCCGCGCCACGUGCGGUUGGAGCCGGCCCGCGGGAGGGGCGGGGGCAGCGUUGCCGGGAAAACACGCGUGGGGAGCGGUGGGGUGCGGGGUUCGGCAGUGGGGUGCCACGGGAACGCCCGUCCCCGCUUCCAUCCGUUUAGCAUUCCCUGGCUAAGGAACGAACGGAGCGCCCUGUAAUGAAGGUUUAUUCUCAUUUCUGUAUUGCUGUGGCUAGAGCUGGUGGAGAGCAUGACGCGCAAGGGGAUCUGACAGCUUCAGAAGUGGGUGCCGAAGGAGUUCCGAAGGAGGCGUUAGCUCUUGCUAGCAGGUAAUCUCGUCUUGAAACUGUUGGGUCUUCCCUGGUCCGACAUCCAGGACAGUCUUGAAACAGAAAAAAAGUCACCGCUGACGUCUGUGAUGGGCUCACUAAGAGCAAAACAGGACGCCUGCAGGAAAGCAUGAUAGAGUCCCCCCAAAUUCUCUGUGGUUGCAGGGAGGGCAGGCUGAGACAUUCCUGCAUCCUUUUCCAUCCUUCUCCAUUCCCCGUGUUCUCAGCAGGGCAGAGCCGUGUGACACCAAAGGCUGAUGGGUUCCCCGGGAUUCCGGUGGCUGUGUGUUCGCUCCUUCCGUUAAGCAGGUACCCGCAGCACGUUCCUUCCCGCAGUUUCCUGGUGCCCCGCGCUCCCCGGCCGCUGAUCCGGCUUGUGCUGAGGCCGCGGCGUGCGGGAGGAACCACCAGGUGGCGACGUCUCUCCGUGCUGCUGCUGCGGGCUUUGGUGGCUUUUCCGCCCUUCGCUCAGAAGCAGGAGCAGACGCAGCUUGCUAGCUUGCUGCCUACCGGCACCGCUCAGUGCACGCUGGCAGAGCCGCCCCAUGCAUUGGAGAGGCAGCUUCCCGCUUUGCAGGAGGCACAGCACUGCUGACCUCAUCAGGAUCCCACCUCGUGCGUUGACGUGGAAUGAAAUCACCGUGGAGCUGGGACCUGGCAGUGAGCUGCAGGGCUGUGUGUGACAAAGAGAGCAACCUGAAGGCAGGGGACUGCGAAACCUCCGUGACGUGCUUUGGAGAAAUACGUGGUCAGAGGGUGAAUACGCAGAGGAGAAGGAAUGCUCAGUUUGGGAUGAGCUGCCCUGGUUCUGCAGCCCCAACCGCCAUCUGUUGCGCUGAGCUCCAUCUAGCUCAGGCCAUAACUGUGCUCUCACCAGAUGUUAGCUUACAUGAGCUGCAUGUAAAAGGGAACUGGUGCGAGAGCUGUGGCCCGAAGUGCUUUCAGUAGGGUCUGACCUGCCGCAGUGACGACGUGCUAGCCGGCCUCUCGCUGCGGGGAUGCGCUCCAGAAGUCGCAGGUGUGUGGCUGGAGCUUGGUCAGUGAGUCAGGAUAGGAAAUAUCUUCCAAAGCUCCAAAUAAGACAAAACAAACUGAGCUUUAGCACAUGCUCAACCGAUUGAGCCUUUGGCAAAGUAUGACAUGAAUUUUCAGGGCUCUCACUGAGGCUGCAUCUUGCCUGCUGCGUCCUUCGGCGCCGAUCCUCCAGAACAGGAAAGUGGGAAUAAAGCUACGAGCGCAGAGCUGGCUGCUCACGGAAUAUCUGCAGCGUGAUUGGCACUAAUGCUCUGCAGCCAGUGGGAGAAGAUACGUUACCCAAGCUUGCAGAGCUUUACCCACCCUUCUGGCUGAUGACAUGUUAAACACUUGGUUUGCGAUCAUCAAUUUUCUCCUGAAAUGAUACCCAAAGCUCUGCUGUUUUGAUUUAAAGUGAUUUCGAGUCUUGUAGUUAACAGUUAAGGAUAGUCCUGUCCAAGAGAAUCUAACUUGAGGAAGCCAUGAAAUUUAAUUCAUUUCUGCAACUUAAAUAUAUAAUCAGUGACAUAUGGGAAUACUAAAUACGGGGGGAAAUGUCAUUGCUUAAGUAAAAUUUCUGCAUUCAGUCAAAACCCAGCAGUUGUAACAUCAAACUGUACUUUCCAUUGUACAGGAAAUAAAGCAUCGUUUUUUCAAAGAAAA